rnacentral:rRNA from 1 species
CCUACGGGUGGCAGCAGUGGGGGAUAUUGCACAAUGGGGGGAACCCUGAUGCAGCGACGCCGCGUGGGUGAAGGAGCGUUUCGGCGCGUAAAGCCCUAUCGGCAGGGAAGAAGGAGGACGGUACCUGACUAAGACGCCCUGGCUAACCACGUGCCAGCAGCAGCGGUAAAACGUAGGGGGCAAGGUGUGUCCGGAUUUACUGGGUGGCAGGGGGGCGCAGACGGCAGCGCAAGCCAGGAGUGAAAGCCCGGGGCGCAACCUCGGGACUGCUCUUGGAACUGCGCGGCUGGAGUGCAGGAGGGGCAGGCGGAAUUCCUGGUGUAGCGGUGAAAUGCGUAGAUAUCAGGAGGAACACCGGUGGCGAAGGCGGCCUGCUGGACUGCGACUGACGUUGAGGCCCGAAAGCGUGGGGAGCAAACAGGAUUAGAUACCCGGGUAGUC